GUUGUACCGUGCUCCCGUUUUCAGAUUAUUCCAAAAGAUAGGUGGCAGCCGCAUGCAAAGCACUUCCCGUUGAGAUAUGGGGAUCGUCCGCUACUCCUAUAUUAUUUAUCAACGGAUGCCACACACGACGUUUCUGCAUACUUCAGAAAUUUGCAAUUGUGCGCGCCCGCCGGAGUUAUGUCACGACUUGCUCACUGCUCGACCACUUUCGCUAGAGCUUUUCUACUUCACAUUUUAGUACCUUCACAUCUCACCUCCAAGACACUCAACCCAUCAAUAAAUCUGCAAAAUUUUGCACAACAAAAAACGCUUUUUAUGAUAAUCAUCGAAAAAUGUAACAGAGUACUUUUUAUUCUUUAUUUUCAUACAAUUUAUGUAAAUUAAUUAAGCUUGCUCCAUAUGUACACGUUUUCUUACUUACUUGCUUAUUGACUUAGCUACUACAGCUUCAUAAUCUGAGAUGCGUAGUCGAUUUUCAAUGAAGUUAUUUGCAUGCCAAGAUAUUAAAAUUGCCUAGUACAUGUUCUUUAUCUGUUCAACGAUACCUGUAUUACUAAUAGAAUAUUAAGCAUCAGUAAAAUACCAAAACGUAUUGCUCGGAGUUGAGAUCGGGAGCGGUUGUGAUUGCGGGUCCUUACAGAUAAGGCAAAUAGCUCAUACAAUUGUUGGAAUGGGGAGCUCGGAGCCUCUUUUGUUAAGGAAGUGGUAUCUAAUGGGACUGCCAUUGCCAGUGGCUAGACUUACAUGGUGCCAAUUGCUAUGCAGCGUACGGCCAAGUUGGUGAUAUCAAAGGGGUGAUACUACUUUGUUAUCCUCGGUACUACUUUAAUAACAUUUUGCUACCAAUACGGAGUGACGAUUGCCCACUCGGCACACGAUUGUACGCCUACGUUCUAAUUUGAAAUUCGUGUAGUGUGUUAUUUUCGCUUUAUCUGUAGUCUCAUUGACUUGUUUACGAUUUUACUAUUCGAUACCUAAUGACAGAUAGGUAAAAGGGUCCUAAUGUAUUGGCAAGUAAAUAAAUUCGAUUGCAACAGUUAUCACAACGGGCAACUUAACAAAUUUUGAAGUUCUUUUGAGAUUAAGACUAUGCUGUAUCUACGUGUUUUGGGAGAUAUUUAAGCGGUCUGUAAAAAGGAAUAACAUCUUAAAUAUGAAUACCAAAUACAUUAAAGCGCAUACGUAGUACUACUCAAUCUGCUGACAAAAAAUCACUGUUUGUAUUUUUUUAUUCACGUGGAGUACAAUAAUAAAU